rnacentral:rRNA from 1 species
GACGAACGCUGGCGGCGUGCUUAACACAUGCAAGUCGAACGGAAAGGCCCUGCUUUUGUGGGGUGCUCGAGUGGCGAACGGGUGAGUAACACGUGAGUAACCUGCCCUUGACUUUGGGAUAACUUCAGGAAACUGGGGCUAAUACCGGAUAGGAGCUCCUGCUGCAUGGUGGGGGUUGGAAAGUUUCGGCGGUUGGGGAUGGGCUCGCGGCUUAUCAGCUUGUUGGUGGGGUAGUGGCUUACCAAGGCUUUGACGGGUAGCCGGCCUGGGAGGGUGACCGGCCACAUUGGGACUGAGAUACGGCCCAGACUCCUACGGGAGGCAGCAGUGGGGAAUAUUGCACAAUGGGCGGAAGCCUGAUGCAGCAACGCCGCGUGCGGGAUGACGGCCUUCGGGUUGUAAACCGCUUUCGCCUGUGACGAAGCGUGAGUGACGGUAAUGGGUAAAGAAGCACCGGCUAACUACGUG